GGCUCAGUAGUGGACGGUCCACACCCACGAUUCAUACUCUGUAUCCUCAUCGAUGUGGAAAUCGCCCGUUCGACUCGGGCCUGAGCCA